CCUACGGAGGCAGCAGUGGGGAAUCUUGCGCAAUGGGGGCAACCCUGACGCAGCCAUGCCGCGUGAAUGAUGAAGGCCUUAGGGUUGUAAAGUUCUUUUGCCCGUGACGAUGAUGACGGUAACGGGAGAAUAAGCUCCGGCUAACUUCGUGCCAGCAGCCGCGGUAAUACGAAGGGGGCUAGCGUUGUUCGGAAUUACUGGGCGUAAAGCGCGCGCAGGCGGUUCGAUAAGUUAGGGGUGAAAUCCCUGGGCUCAACCCAGGAAUGGCCUUUAAGACUGUCGAGCUAGAGGACGAGAGAGGUGAGUGGAAUUCCCAGUGUAGAGGUGAAAUUCGUAGAUAUUGGGAAGAACACCGGUGGCGAAGGCGGCUCACUGGCUCGUUUCUGACGCUGAGGCGCGAAAGCGUGGGGAGCAAACAGGAUUAGAUACCCUGGUAGUCCACGCCCUAAACGAUGAGUGCCAGGUGUCGGGAAGCUUAGCUUCUCGGCGCCGCAGCUAACGCCUUAAGCNCUCCGCCGUGGGAGUACGGCCGCGAGUAAACUACAAGAGAGUAGCGCGNGAGACGCGACGACGACGACGACGGAGGAGGAG
rnacentral:rRNA from 1 species